rnacentral:piRNA from 1 species
UGGUGACCCUUGAAAAAAAAGAUCUCUCUUU